CCGUGGGCUUUCUGGGAAUAUUGGGUCGUGACUCGAUGACGUUGCGUCACCGAGUACCGAACAGAGUAAUUUAGGACUAGGCCGAAGGAGAAGAGGAAUGCUUGUUUUGUUUGCUUUUGCAUUUUCAGUGGUUAGGAGCAGAAAGACGCAGUCCAUCUGCUUAGGAACGGGCCUGGUGUUGAGAUAUGUCGCAAGGCGAUCCGGCGUAGAGUUGUAAACGGUCUACUUUUCUCCCAUUCCACUACCCACGGCUAUACCAUCAUAACUCACCUGGACUACUGAAGAUACCUUGCAAGGCACUUCCAAGCCUGGCCAGCUCCAAAUUAGAAUCCAUCUUCUUGAAAAACAAAAUCUAAUCCAUGAUAGUCAAUGGCCUAAGACCCUUCAGGUCUUUGGUAAUAAAAGAGACCCAAGUCUUUAUUUCUACAAGGCCAUGAGUGGUCUAGCUCCUCUUUCUUCUGCCUCAUGUUCUACUUUUCCCAUCUUAGCAAACACCUUUGCUUGGCUUUUGCUCUCCUACUCAGGCCUCCUGCUUGUCCUUCAGAGCUUGUCUCAUGUCACCUUCCCAGUCUCCCUUUAUUACAUACUCCCUUUUCAUUAUGUCUCACUUUUGACAGGUGUGGCCUUAUGCAUAUUCAUGAUUUUUUGAUAACCGUGUCUCUCCUAUGGAUUUAAAUUCACUGGCUUUGGCUCUGUUCUUUCUAGUGCCUAGUAUAUUGUCAGGCCCACAGUCUACAACUAUUUCUUCAAAGACUGUUUUGUCAUUACAACUCUAUAAACAUCAAACCUAUAAACAUAGAUAAAAUAUUAAAAGAUUACUCCACAGA